rnacentral:rRNA from 1 species
AUUGAACGCUGGCGGCAUGCUCUACACAUGCAAGUCGAACGGUAACAGGCCGCAAGGUGCUGACGAGUGGCGAACGGGUGAGUAAUGCAUCGGAACGUGCCCAGUCGUGGGGGAUAACUACUCGAAAGAGUAGCUAAUACCGCAUACGAUCUAUGGAUGAAAGCGGGGGACCGUAAGGCCUCGCGCGAUUGGAGCGGCCGAUGUCAGAUUAGGUAGUUGGUGGGGUAAAGGCUCACCAAGCCAACGAUCUGUAGCUGGUCUGAGAGGACGACCAGCCACACUGGGACUGAGACACGGCCCAGACUCCUACGGGAGGCAGCAGUGGGGAAUUUUGGACAAUGGGCGCAAGCCUGAUCCAGCAAUGCCGCGUGCAGGAAGAAGGCCUUCGGGUUGUAAACUGCUUUUGUACGGAACGAAACGGCUCUGGCUAAUACCCGGGGCUAAUGACGGUACCGUAAGAAUAAGCACCGGCUAACUACGUG